UACGUAGGGUGCAAGCGUUACUCGGAAUUACUGGGCGUAAAGCGUGCGCAGGCGGUUCGGCACGAGAGGUGUGAAAUCCCAGGGCUUAACCUUGGAACUGCACUUCUAACUACCGGGCUAGAGUACGUCAGAGGGGGGUAGAAUUCCACGUGUAGCAGUGAAAUGCGUAGAGAUGUGGAGGAAUACCGAUGGCGAAGGCAGCCCCCUGGGAUGAUACUGACGCUCAUGCACGAAAGCGUGGGGAGCAAACAGG
rnacentral:rRNA from 1 species